rnacentral:piRNA from 1 species
UCCACAGGACCAGUUCUUCUACGUAUUUA